GAUGAAGAACGUAGCGAAAUGCGAUAAGUAAUGUGAAUUGCAGAAUUCAGUGAAUCAUCGAAUCUUUGAACGCACAUUGCGCCCGCCAGUACUCUGGCGGGCAUGCCUGUUCGAGCGUCAUUUCAACCAUCAAGCCCCCGGCUUGUGUUGGGGACCUGCGGCUGCCGCAGGCCCUGAAAGCCAGUGGCGGGCUCGCUGUCACACCGAGCGUAGUAGAUUUUCAUCUCGCUCAGGGCGUGCUGCGGGUUCCGGCCGUAAAAAGCCUUAUUUACCCAAGGUUGACCUCGGAUCAGGUAGGAAGACCCGCUGAACUUAAGCAUAUCAAUAAGCGGAGGA
rnacentral:misc_RNA from 1 species